rnacentral:rRNA from 1 species
UACGGAGGAUCCAAGCGUUAUCCGGAUUUAUUGGGCUUAAAGGGUGCGUAGGCGGCCUAUUAAGUCAGGGGUGAAAGCCGGUAGCUUAACUAUCGCAGUGCCUUUGAUACUGAUGGGCUUGAAUACACUAGAGGUAGGCGGAAUGUGACAAGUAGCGGUGAAAUGCAUAGAUAUGUCACAGAACACCAAUUGCGAAGGCAGCUUACUAUGGUGCAAUUGACGCUGAGGCACGAAAGCGUGGGGAGCAAACAGG